AACGAACGCUGGCGGCAGGCCUAACACAUGCAAGUCGAGCGCACCUUCGGGUGAGCGGCGGACGGGUUAGUAACGCGUGGGAACGUACCCUUUUCUACGGAAUAGCCUUUGGAAACGAAGAGUAAUACCGUAUAUGCCCUUUGGGGGAAAGAUUUAUCGGAGAAGGAUCGGCCCGCGUUAGAUUAGAUAGUUGGUGGGGUAACGGCCUACCAAGUCUACGAUCUAUAGCUGGUUUUAGAGGAUGAUCAGCAACACUGGGACUGAGACACGGCCCAGACUCCUACGGGAGGCAGCAGUGGGGAAUCUUAGACAAUGGGCGCAAGCCUGAUCUAGCCAUGCCGCGUGAGUGAUGAAGGCCUUAGGGUCGUAAAGCUCUUUCGCCUGUGAUGAUAAUGACAGUAGCAGGUAAAGAAACCCCGGCUAACUCCGUGCCAGCAGCCGCGGUAAUACGGAGGGGGUUAGCGUUGUUCGGAAUUACUGGGCGUAAAGCGCACGUAGGCGGAUUGGAAAGUUGGGGGUGAAAUCCCGGGGCUCAACCCCGGAACUGCCUCCAAAACUAUCAGUCUAGAGUUCGAGAGAGGUGAGUGGAAUUCCAAGUGUAGAGGUGAAAUUCGUAGAUAUUUGGAGGAACACCAGUGGCGAAGGCGGCUCACUGGCUCGAUACUGACG
rnacentral:rRNA from 1 species